rnacentral:rRNA from 1 species
UACGGAGGGUGCAAGCGUUACUCGGAAUUACUGGGCGUAAAGCGUGCGCAGGCGGUUUGUUAAGUCCGUUGUGAAAGCCCCGAGCUCAACUUGGGAAUUGCAGUGGAUACUGGCAGGCUGGAGUACGGUAGAGGAAGGUGGAAUUCCCGGUGUAGCAGUGAAAUGCGUAGAGAUCGGGAGGAACACCAGUGGCGAAGGCGGCCUUCUGGACCAGUACUGACGCUCAUGCACGAAAGCGUGGGGAGCAAACAGG